UACGUAGGGUGCAAGCGUUGUCCGGAAUUAUUGGGCGUAAAGAGUUCGUAGGCGGUUUGUCGCGUCCGUUGUGAAAGCUUGGGGCUCAACCCCAAGUCUGCAGUGGAUACGGGCAGACUAGAGUCGAGGUAGGGGAGAACGGAAUUCCUGGUGUAGCGGUGAAAUGCGCAGAGUAUCAGGAAGAACACCUAUGGCGAAGGCAGGUCUCUGGGCCACUACUGACGCUGAGAAGCGAAAGCAUGGGGAGCGAACAGG
rnacentral:rRNA from 1 species